AUUCCAUGAUGGGGACAUUCUAGGAUGUAGUCUUGAAAGCGCUCCCAUGCUUCUGGAACAGAUUCAUCAUUUUGUUGCUGAAAGCUUGUAAUCUUCCCACGGAUAGC
rfam:Sorghum bicolor cultivar BTx623 chromosome 8, whole genome shotgun sequence.